CCCUGUUUUAAUUAAUGUAGCCACGCCCUGUAUUAAAUGGAUGAAAAUCAGGUUAAAGAAAUAAGAACAUGUAAAUUGAUAGAAUCAGAACUCUCUUCUAGAAAGAAGCCAAAAGGUGUGUAUAAAAAAUAUGGUAGCAGUCUAGUACUAUAUGAAUCGGAUCCAGCGUCAGUAUUAAAAGAAAAUCACAAUAAACUUGCUAAACUGAUGGAAAAAGACAAAAACUGACACAUACACACAUAAAAUAGUAUACAUUUUAAUCUUCCAGUGGCACGUUUUUGAAUAAA